rnacentral:rRNA from 1 species
CUCUCUGGCCAUACCACCCUGACUGUGCCUGAUCUCAUCUGAUCUUGUAAGUUAAGCAGGAUCAGGCCUGGUUAGUACUUGGAUGAGAGGACAUGCAUAGAAGGC